rnacentral:tRNA from 1 species
GGCCUCGUAGCUCAGUUGGUUAGAGCGUUGGCUGUACUAAAAGCCUUGCUCUUGCUGGCGUGGGUUCAAAUCCCACCGAGGCCG